UUCACAUUGCCCAAGUCUCUU
rnacentral:misc_RNA from 2 species